CUUGAAGUAGUACAAGAAGUUUAUUGUUUGUGGAUAUUGAUUUCUAACUUAAAAGUUCAAUGUGGAGAUUCACUUUCAUUUCAUUAAAAUGUUUUAUGAGAGGAGCAAACUUCGGUAAAGUCUCUGGUAGUGGUCAACACAUAGUGUUUGUGUAUAGG